rnacentral:lncRNA from 1 species
AACAGCUUGGAGACCCUCACCAGUGGCUCCGAAAGAUUCAAAAACCCCUAGAACGACAUAAAGAACAUCCAAAACGAACGUCUGGAACUCUCAAAACGUCAAAAACAUAAAAAGCACUCAAUCUGCCUCACAUAAUUCGUCCAAUGCACCCGCCCUUAUGCACUAAGCGAAUUUUUUUUGUAGGGAAAGCCACCUCGAAAUUCG